ACUCGUUCUCAUCCCCAAGAAAAAUGCGCCGCCUUUUGCCUUCGCCGCCGGAGAGCACCUGCUGCUCCCUUCUGCGGCUGGUGUAGCUCCACGCGGAUCUGCUGCGCGCGGGGGCGGCGCGCCGGAGGAGGAUCUCCCAUUCCCGGCGGCAACUCGACGGAGGAGGAGUUGAGCUGCCGCGCGCGGAGGCGACGCGCCGGACGAGCUGAAAUGCUGCUCCUGGAGGCGACGCACCGGAGGAGGAGCUGAGCUUCCGCUCCUGGGGGGCGACGCGCUGGAUCGGCGACCCAUCUUUCUCGCCGCCCAGAUCUGAACGAGCAGCGCAUCCAUCCAUCUCAAAGCAAAAGAUAGCAAGAUCAAUGGCAAUGGUGCUGGAUGCAUUUGCAUCCUACGUGGGGCACAUGCUUGCGCAGGUAGCAGCAGAUGAGGUGGGGAUGAUGCUGGGCAUCUCAGGCGAGAUCAGCAAGAUGAGCGACAAACUUCGGGACCUCAAGAACUUCUUGGCUGAUGCCGAUAGGAGGAACAUCACCGAUGAAACCGUCCGGGAGUGGGUGGGGCAGCUCAAGCGUGCCAUGUACGAAGCUGCUGACAUCCUCGACCUCUGCCAGCUCAAGGCCAUGGAGCGUGGAUCAUCCUCAGCAGAUGCAGGGUGUUUCAAUCCCUUGCUCUUUUGCAUGAGGAACCCCUGCCAUGCUCAUGAAAUCGGCACCCGCAUCAAGAAGCUCAAUAAGAGGCUCGACUCCAUCAAGGAGCGGAGCGCUGCUUUCAGCUUCAUCAAUCUCAGGUCCUAUGAGGAUCAUAGCAGCAAUGCCUACGCCUCUCGCCAUGGUAAUCCAAGCCGGGAGACGGUGGGGGACUUUGACCGGUCGGCUCUGGUUGGGGAGAAGAUUGAAGAAGACACGAGAGCACUGGUGGCUCAGAUCAUGCAGAUGGGAAAAGAGGUCAACGAUGACAUCAUGGUGGUCGCCGUUGUAGGUAUCGGUGGGAUUGGCAAGACCACCCUUGCCCAAAAGGUCUUCAAUGAGGAGGCCAUCCAAGGCGGGUUCAGCAAAAAGAUAUGGUUGAGCAUCAACCAAAAUUUCAGUGAGGUUGAGUUGCUGAGAAGAGCCGUCAUCGAAGCCGGAGGAGACGCCCAGCCAGCUGGAAAUGCAAAGGCUGCGCUUCAUCGAACCCUCAAGGACGCGUUGAUUGGCCACAAGACCUUACUGGUAAUGGAUGAUGUGUGGGACCAUGGAGCAUGGGAUGGUGUGCUCAAAACACCCUUUGUUAAUGCUGCUGCUUCAGGCAGUCGAGUCCUCAUCACCACUAGAGAUGAAGAAGUCGCUCAAGGGAUGAUAGCCAGACGACCCUACCACCACGUUGACACAUUAUUGCCUGAAGAUGCUUGGUCAUUGCUCAAGAAGCAGGUACUCUCAAGUGAGAUAGAUGAAGACCACAUCAACAUGCUAAAGGAUAUCGGAUUGAAAAUUAUACAAAAAUGUGGUGGUUUACCACUUGCGGUCAAAGUAAUGGGAGGACUCUUGUGUAAAAGAGGAGGCCUACAUCGUGACUGGGAGCAGGUUUUGGAUGAUUCUAAAUGGUCAAUAACUAAAAUGCCUCAAGAGCUCAACUAUGCAGUAUACUUGAGCUAUGAAUAUAUGCCUUCUUAUCUGAAGCAGUGCUUUCUAUACUACUCUCUUCUUCCUAAAAGUAAAAAGUUUAAUCUGAAUCAAGUCGUUGCGCUGUGGAUGAGUGAAGGAUUUAUUCAUGGAAACUUUAGGGAUUUAGAAGAAUUGGGAGAAAAGUACUACAAGGAGUUAGUAUCUAGGAACCUUAUAGAGCCAGAUAAAUCAUAUGUUGAUCUAUGGGUUUGCAGCAUGCAUGAUGUUGUUCGCUCUUUUGCUCAAUAUAUGACUAAAGAUGAAGCACUUGUAGCUCAGGAUGGAGACAAUGAUAUUCUUACUAAACUAAGUUCACAAAAGUUUCUUCGGUUGUCCAUAGAAACCAACCGACUGCAAUCAGGUGAACUUGACUGGAAAUUUCUACAGGAGCAGCAAUCAGUGAGAACAUUAUUCUCAACUAUCCAGAUCAUGAUGAAGCCUGGUGAUUCAAUGGUUACCUUUUCACAUCUGCGAGCCCUAUAUAUAGAAGCUGCAGAUGUGGCUGCAUUGGUUGAAUCAUUGCAUCAACUCAAGCACCUGAGGUAUCUAGCACUAAUAAAUGCUAAUAUAUCUGUACUUCCAGGGAACAUUGGCAAGAUGAAACUAUUGCAAUUUCUUGACCUUUGUGGAUGUGAAAAUUUGGUGAAUCUUCCUGAUAGCAUUGUGAAUCUUGUCCAGCUGAGGUUACUUGAGCUUCCCGGCACAAGUAUGAUACCUAGAGGGUUCAGUGGUCUAACAAUUAUCAGGAGACUAAGUGGGUUUCGAGCCUACAUGGAUGGUGAUUGGUGCAGUUUGGACGAGUUGGGGCCUCUUUCCCAACUCAGACUUAUUGGAUUAGUCGAUUUGGAAAAUGUAUCUGCUGCCUCGUUUGCUGCUAAUGCUAGGCUUGGUGGGAAGAUGCAUCUUAUCGAUCUAUUCUUGUACUGCACUAGCAGACUGGGACAUGAUGGGUUGGUCAAAGAGAAAGAAGGUGUCUCUGAGGAAGAGCAGCGAUGUAUUGAGAAGGUGUUUGAUGAGCUCUGCCCUCCAUCCAGCGUAGAAAAUCUUGAUAUCAAGGGGUAUUUUGGCAAGCAACUCCCGAGGUGGAUGAUAUCCACGUCAACGGUACCCCUCACCAACCUGAAGUAUCUAAUGUUAUCUGACCUGGCUUGUUGCACACAACUUCCCAAUGGGUUGUGCAAGCUCCCCUGCCUGCAUUUACUUCAGGUCAACCGUGCUCCAUGCAUCAGGCAAAUUGGGAAUGGAUUCUUGCAGGAGGCAGCAGCUCCAUUUCCAAGAUUAAACAAGUUGAACUUAAUUGGAAUGGUGGAAUGGGAGGAGUGGGAGUGGGAGGAGAAAGUACAAGCCAUGCCCAGGUUAGAGAACCUCGUGCUCGAUAAUUGCAAACUGUGGCGUGUUCCUCCUGGCCUUGCCUCCAAUGCAAGGGCUUUGAAAGCAUUAUACAUACAGAGGGUCCAUCACCUUAGCUACCUUGAGAGCUUUCCUUCUGUUGUUGAGCUUACAGUGUGUCAAAUCCCUGACCUGGAGAGGAUCACCAACCUCCCCAAUCUGCAAAAGCUUACCAUCACCGAUUGCCCAAAGUUGAAGGUGCUGCAGAGUAUCCCUGCACUCAAGAGGUUGGUCCUGGAGGAUUGUGUCAUGGAAGAACUCCCAGACUACAUGCUAGAUAUAAAGCCAAGGCAUUUGCAGCUGCUCUGCAGGAUAUGGUUGCUAUAUUCAUUAGCCGCAGGACAAUCUGGUCCCGAGUGGGACAAGUUCAGCCAUGUGGAGCAUGUCAAGGCAUAUGCACAUGAUGGAGACAACCAAAGGAAAUGGUACGUGCUAUACACAAGAGACAACUGCAAGUUGGAUUCGAACAUUAGCAGCUCUACCACAUUUGAAGAAACCUUAUCAUCUUCUAUGCUGGAUGCACAAGGAUUUGAGUCUUUGUACAAAAUGAGAAGAAGUACCUUCAGUUAUGUUUGCAGCUUGGUGAGGGUGCCAUUUCUGGAAGAUAUGAUGGCAAGGGAUCACACCUUUUUUGAUGGGAGAGUGCUAUCUUUACAGGAUCGAGUAGCUGUUGCUCUAAGAAUGCUGAACUCUGGUGAGUCACCAGUUACCAUAGGAUCCUCUCUUGGUGUGGACGAGUCAACUCUCUCACUGGUAACUCAGGUAUUUCUCAAGGCUAUGUGGGAGCGAGCAAUGCACCACUGCAGCUGGCCUGGCUCCGCUAAAAUGCAGAAGCUCAAGUGCAAGUUUGACAAGAUCCAUGGUCUGCCAAACUGCUGUGGUGUUUUACAUACAGCUCACAUCACGGUUGGGUCAACAAAUUGUGAUGGCAAGGAGAAUGACGGCAUCCUAGUGCAGGCCAUCGUUGAUGCAGUUAUGAGGUUCACAGACAUUUGGUGGAACUUGACAGGCAGUAUGAACAAAUCGAACAUUUUGCGUGACUCUGAGCUCCUUGAGAAGUGUGAGAAUGGUGCUUGGCUUAAUGGCAGUAUGUUGAGGUUAUCAGAUGGCUCGGAUGUCGGAGAAUACAUAAUUGGUAAUGCAGGAUACACUCUUCGUCCCUGGCUCCUCACACCUUACCAGUUGGAGAAUGACCUCUCACUCUCAGACUCCAAAGCAGAGUUCAACAGGAGGCACACUGCAGCUACAGUCGUCACGCUGAGGGCAUUGGCAAGGUUGAAAGACACGUGGAAGUGCCUGCAGGGAGAAGGGUGGCAUCCAAGUAAUAAAGAUGAAAUGUGCGACACAAUCGGCACGUGCUGCGCGUUGCAUAACAUAGUGAUAGACAUGGAGGAGGAAGGUGCAGGCAUGCCGAGCCAUCAGCGGGAGAAUUACAUCAGGCAAGUACGGCAAGUAGCAGAUGAGGACGCUGUCAGAAUGAGGGAUAUAUUGUCCCAGCACUUGAUUGAAUCUGGAGUCCACACAAAGGCUGCAGAGGAGGAACAAGAAGCACUAGUUGCAUCCAGAUCAGGAGAUAAAAAACAAGGAACAAGAAGCACACCAACGGCAGACAACACCUCAAGGAAAGGAGCACGGUAACUGGCGACAUGAGAUCGGACUGAAUUAAUUUGGUAUUUUUAACUUCUCUGCUAUAAAUUGUGCUUCAGGCCGCAGUUCUCUUAGUUCCUUCUUGCGCUAUGAUGCUAAUCAAUUAACGUCCCUCGAAGCCAUUAAAUCCCUCGGCCCUGGCCCCUGGGUACGGAGCCAAAUUGAUGCUGCAAAGAAUUAAGACCGGGAUCAGCAAAAAGAAAAAUCUUAGGUUUUCACAUGUAGUAUUUGGCGAAGACGAGCGUCGUGCAUUGCAUAUUACUAGUGGCUUGCAUGCUGAUGUCGCUUGGGUGGAAGAAGAGGAGGGAACUUCAGAACCCCUGGGAUGCACAUGAGGAUGAUGCAGCCUCCUCAUGAAGCCAAGAACAUAUCAUCAUUCUACUGUUUGUUGCUGAAGUCUAGAGCUGCACCGAACGGCCAAAGUGGUCAGAGAGCAUGUACUUGGGAAGCUUCUGCUAGGUCCUCAGGUCGGUGGUCUUGUGAGGAUAACAACAGCGUAUGAUCAUUCUACUGCUUGUUUAAUAGUCACGGACCGAUGCUAUUCUUACAUACUAGUACAAGCUUUACAAAAAUCCUACGUGCUAGUUCAAAUUUAAUGGCAGUUAUUUCCAUGUUUUGUUCUAGGCAUUUUGUAGGAGCAGUAUGCUCACAAUACGUAAACAUUUUGUAGGAGUAGUCUGUAGGAAUAGGAUUUCUGAUAGUCACCGGCUCACCGCCGUUGCUUCAUAGUGGAAUCUCUACAAAGACUUACAUUUAGGAAUGGAGGGAGUAGAUUGUAAUGAUGGUUUUUUA